rnacentral:rRNA from 1 species
GAAGAACCUUACCUGGUCUUGACAUCCACAGAACUUUCCAGAGAUGGAUUGGUGCCUUCGGGAACUGUGAGACAGGUGCUGCAUGGCUGUCGUCAGCUCGUGUUGUGAAAUGUUGGGUUAAGUCCCGCAACGAGCGCAACCCUUAUCCUUUGUUGCCAGCGGUUCGGCCGGGAACUCAAAGGAGACUGCCAGUGAUAAACUGGAGGAAGGUGGGGAUGACGUCAAGUCAUCAUGGCCCUUACGACCAGGGCUACACACGUGCUACAAUGGCAUAUACAAAGAGAAGCGACCUCGCGAGAGCAAGCGGACCUCAUAAAGUAUGUCGUAGUCCGGAUUGGAGUCUGCAACUCGACUCCAUGAAGUCGGAAUCGCUAGUAAUCGUAGAUCAGAAUGCUA